rnacentral:lncRNA from 1 species
ACAUAUCUGUUCUCAGUAAAUGGUUGGUCGAAAUUUAAUUAUGACGUUAUAUUUUUCUUGAUUUCUUCUGAAUUUGCCAUUGUGACGUCCUGAACUGCGACCAUGCCUGAUGACGCCACAUAUAUAGAACACAACUUUCUGUGAAUCUUUAAAAAGGAAGGAUUGAAAUCAUAAGAGAAACAGAUUCCACUAUAUCUCGUGUAUUUCGAUAUUUCUCAACUGUCAACAGUUAAAUUGUAAUUAUCUAAAAAGCUCGGCAAGCCUCGGGCUUUAAAUAUCAAAAUUUAAGUGUCCCGAGUGGAGAAAUAUCGUAACACAUCUAUUGCAGUGAUGGAAUCUAUAUUUAUGAUGUAAUUACGUGAUAUUAGACUCACUUAUUUGCAUGCGUUCAAAAUAAUGUUUGUGUUCAAUAUAAGGUUCAUUGUACAUGCCUUAGCGAUGCAUGCGUUUGAUUUCAAUGAACACUAUCUAUCAAUGAUCAGAACUAAGAUGAAAAAUUGUGUCUUUCAUUUUUUUAGUUGUAAUCUCUGUUCUUCCUUUUUAUUUUUCACUCUAUUCGGUCCUGCAUUUUUUUAAUCAGUUUAUCCUGACUUUAGUUUACCUAAUUAAUUUGUUAUCCUGCCUUUUUUUUAUGUCAAGCUACUCUUUUUUUUUCAUCCGAGUAGCCUGGAUUUGCAGCUUAUGCCUCAUUAAGGUGGUACCCAACACUUUCACUAAAAUUAAUUUGGCUCGUUUAAUUUUCAUAAAAUUUUGACAAAGUAUUUACUUUGGACCAUUUUACAAAAAUAUAAAAAAUUUAAAAAAUUUGAACCAAGCGUUUUAUCAGAAAAAUUACACUGGUUAUAUAGCAGUUUGACAAACACUAAUUUUGAUCAUUGAGAAGCUUAAUAUUCCUUUAACAGCACAAUGUCAUUAAAACGUUUAGGUGAUUUUACAGAGUUAUCUCCCUGUAGUGUUAGGUACCACCUUAAGAACGGCGGAUCAUUCUAGCAAUAGAAUUCAUAGCACGGUUGGUUGAGGUAAAGAUCAUAAGUUUUACAUGUAAAGGAAGCAUAUUUUUGUGUACUUUAUGUCACUCUUUUCUGUUUUGUAUAUACAUUAAAGAUUAUUUAUUAUGUAAAAUUACAAAGCGAUGUCAUUUAAAGUGACAAUGUCAUUGCGACUGAAAUUCUUAUCAUUCCGUUCGACAAAAAAUGUAACAGAAAUGUUCAGAACGCGUGAAAGUUGUCAUAAAUCUGCAAAUAUUUACACAAAUCGUGUUUUGAUCUAUAAAAAAAGUCUAACGGUUUUACGUUCUUGUCCACUUAUACAUGUUAUAUAGAUAUGUAUUCAUUAUUUUCACAUACAAACAAAAACAAAAAAACGAAGACCAUGGUCUAGAUAGUAUGCAUAUGUUCGUUAAGCUCAUAUUUCCGCAUUCUUGUCAUACUUAGAGAUCAAAUAAACCCCGCCAAAUAUAGUUAACAAUUGAAUUAAAAUUACAGCGAUACAAUUUCCUUUUUUUUACUUAUUAUUUUUUAAAACUAGUAUCACAUUAUUGUAUAUUAUUAUGUCAAGGGAGCUCUUUUUUAAAGAUAAUGGGGAAAUAAAGAUUAAUUUCUUUUGCUUUUACAUUUAUUGCUUCAUAAGAAAAAUUGUCCUGACCAUGCAU